GUAGUUAUAGUUUAACAAAAACAUUAGAUUGUGAAUCUAACAAUAGAGGCUUACAACCUCUUACCUACC
rnacentral:tRNA from 3 species